UUCUCAGAAUCUGAAAAUUGCAUCUUUGUAGUUGAAUCUCUCAGGUAAAAUUUUCUUUUCUCUUCUUUCUCUUUCUCUAGUUGUGAUUUUUUAUACUAUGCAUGUCUUCUCUGCAUGUAUGUUUCUUCUAUUGGAAAAAUUAUGUGACACAACAAAUUAAACAUAUAUUGUAUAUUUUAUUUACUGUUUGUAGCAAUACUUUGAGAAAAUUACCAUUCGUAGAGAUAGUUGAAUUUUAUAGCAAAUCUGCUUGUAGUACUAAAACAAGAAAUCAAUUAGUUUGAACUGUAACGAAAAAGCAACAAGCUCUUGUAGCUUAGUUGGUUAGAGCACAAGCUUAGUAAGUGAAGAUCUUGAGUUCGACUCUCAAUAAUAAUAUUUUAUUUUUCUGUAUUUUUGUAUUUCGCCUUGGUUGUAUUUGUUGCGCGAACGAAAUAUUCAUUGCGCGUUUGAAUACAAUUGAAAAAUUCCUCUUUCUUUAUUUACAGGUCAAACUCUCUAUAAUAGUCAUCCUUUAUAACAUAACUUCACUAUAAUAGUCAUAUUUUCUUUAGAACCAAUUAUUCAUGCUAUGUUGUACUAUAUAUUUUCUAUAACAAUACUUCGCUAUAACAACCAAAAAAUGUUCAGAACAACCGAGGUUAUUAUAAAAAAGUUUGACUUGAUUUAUUUAUUUAUCUAUAGAGCUGAUUUGGGUUAUUUUACUUAUUUUUUGUAGAGGGAUUUGGUCGAGGAUGGCGUCCAAGAGGAUUCUAAAAGAGCUCAAGGAUCUUGUGAAAGAUCCUCAUGUCUUUUGCACUCUUGGUUUGUUUCUAGAACCUUCUUUUCCUUUUACUUUGUCCUGAGGGCUUUGGUUUAAUGGCAAGAGCGUAAUAUGUGAUAAUGUGAGCUAAAUGCAUGUACCAGGUUCAAACAUGUAAAUGUUUAUUUGUAACCGGUGUUUACACCAAACCAAUUAAUUUAACUUUGGUAGUUAAAAAUUGAAGUGAAAUGGUUAAGUGAUAAAUGUGUGUACCGAAUACGCAUGUUUUGUAUUUAUUGAUUUGAUGUAAACAUCGAGUGCGAAUCCUGCCGUAGAUGAAAAGUUGGUAUUUAAGGGGAGAAGGUGGAGGGAUGGACUUAUUAUUGCGGAGUUUGGAGUUUUGAACCAUGCAAUACUAGCCGUUGCAAUUCUAAG
rnacentral:lncRNA from 1 species